GUGCCAGCCGCUGCGGUAAUACGUAGGUGGCAAGCGUUGUCCGGAAUCAUUGGGCGUAAAGGGCGCGCAGGCGGUUCGGUAAGUCGGUCUUAAAAGUGCGGGGCUUAACCCCGUGAUGGGAUUGAAACUGCCGGACUGGAGUGUCGGAGAGGAAAGCAGAAUUCCUAGUGUAGCGGUGAAAUGCGUAGAUAUUAGGAGGAAUACCAGUGGCGAAGCGGCUUCUGGACGACAACUGACGCUGAGGCGCGAAAGCCAGGGGAGCAAACGGGAUUAGAUACCCCGGUAGUCCUGGCCGUAAACGAUGGAUACUAGGUGUAGGAGGUAUCCGACCCCUUCUGUGCC
rnacentral:rRNA from 1 species